ensembl:rRNA 5S_rRNA 5S ribosomal RNA
GUCUAUGGGCAUGCUACCCUUAACAAGCCCGAUUUGUGUGAUCUCAGAAGCUAAGCAGGGUCAGGCCUGGUUAGUACUCAGAGGGGAGACCAUCUAGGAAGACCAGGUGCUGUAGGCA